rnacentral:rRNA from 1 species
UACGAAGGGGGCUAGCGUUGCUCGGAAUGACUGGGCGUAAAGGGCGCGUAGGCGGAUGGCUUUGUCGGGCGUGAAAUUCCAGGGCUUAACCUUGGGGCUGCGUUCGAGACGGGUUGUCUUGAGUUCGGAAGAGGGUCGUGGAAUUCCCAGUGUAGAGGUGAAAUCGUAGAUAUUGGGGAAGAACACCGGUGGCGAAGGCGGCGCCUGGUCCGAGACUGACGCUGAGGCGCGAAGCAUGGGGAGCGAACAGG